GACGAACGCUGGCGGCGUGCCUAAUACAUGCAAGUCGAGCGAAGCGGCGGUUGGGUGAGUAACGCGUGGGUAACCUGCCCUUAAGUCUGGGAUACAAUUUGGAACCAGAUGCUAAUACCGGAUCCUAAAGGAUUGACUUGGGAGGCAUUAGCUAGGUGGUAAGGUAACGGCUUACCAAGGCGAUGAUGCAUAGCCGGGUUGAGAGACUGAUCGGCCACAUUGGGACGGAGACACGGCCCAAACUCCUACGGGAGGCAGCAGUAGGGAAUCUUGCACAAUGGACGAAAGUCUGAUGGAGCAACGCCGCGGGAGUGAAGAAGGUUUUCGGGUCGUAAAGCUCUGUUGUUGGUGAAGCGGUACUCGAACAGAAAGUCACGGCUAACUACGUGCCAGCAGCCGCGGUAAUUC
rnacentral:rRNA from 1 species